GACUUUUAAUUGGAGUCUGGAAUGAAUGGUUGGACGAGAAAUGUUCUUUCUUUAUUUUAAGUGAAUGAAUUUAAUUUUUAUGUUAAAAAUCAUAGAUUUUUUUAUAGGACGAGAAGACCCUAUAGAACUUGAUUAUUAAGAUAUAAUUUUGUUUUUGAUAUUCUAUAUAUGAAAUAUAUAUUUUUUAUAAUUUUGUUGGGGUGAUGGAAAAAAUUUUAUAACUUUUUUUUAUUGAUACAUUUAUUUAUGUAUAUAUGAUCCUUUUUUAUGGAGAAGAAGACUAAGUUACCUUAGGGAUAACAGCGUUAUUUUAUUAUAGAGUUCUUAUCGAUAAUAUAGUUUGCGACCUCGAUGUUGGAUUAAAAUAAGUGAUAGGAGUAGAUUAUUAUUUACUAGGUCUGUUCGACCUAUAAAUUUUUACA
rnacentral:rRNA from 1 species